UACGGGAGGCAGCAGUGGGGAAUAUUGGGCAAUGGGCGAAAGCCUGAUCCAGCCAUGCCGCGUGUGUGAAGAAGGUCUUCGGAUUGUAAAGCACUUUAAGUUGGGAGGAAGGGCAGUAAGUUAAUACCUUGCUGUUUUGACGUUACCAACAGAAUAAGCACCGGCUAACUUCGUGCCAGCAGCCGCGGUAAU
rnacentral:rRNA from 1 species